GAUCCUGGCUCAGGACGAACGCUGGCGGCGCGCCUAACACAUGCAAGUCGAACGAGAGAGAGGGAGCUUGCUUCCUUGAUCGAGUGGCGAACGGGUGAGUAACGCGUGAGGAACCUGCCUCAAAGAGGGGGACAACAGUUGGAAACGACUGCUAAUACCGCAUAAGCCCACGGCUCGGCAUCGAGCAGAGGGAAAAGGAGCAAUCCGCUUUGGAGAGUCGGCCGUCGCGUCCGUAUUAGCG
rnacentral:rRNA from 1 species